ACUCCUACGGGAGGCAGCAGUAGGGAAUCUUCGGCAAUGGACGAAAGUCUGACCGAGCAACGCCGCGUGAGUGAAGAAGGUUUUCGGAUCGUAAAGCUCUGUUGUAAGAGAAGAACGAGUGUGAGAGUGGAAAGUUCACACUGUGACGGUAUCUUACCAGAAAGGGACGGCUAACUACGUGCCAGCAGCCGCGGUAAU
rnacentral:rRNA from 1 species